GACAUGAAAUAGCGCCAUUGUAUUGUGCAGAUCGUCUCGAAACCGUAAGAAGCUGUGUGUAACCGUAAGAAACUAACAAGUGAAAUAAUUAUAAAAUUUUGAUAUUCGACACUUUGAAAUCUACAAUCCACAGUAAAAGAGCGGAUCACAUGCGAAAACCUCAUUAAUGGCCCUUGAUAGUGUGUUUGCCAUAGCCCCACCCUUGGUCGGGGAGAGAAACAAAGACACACUGAUUCUGAAUGAAGGAGAAAUUGAAAGUGAGGACAUCAAAGUCAAUGGAAAUUCUGAACCAGAAGAUGUAGAUUUAGAAGAAGGAGAAAUUCUUGAUGAUUCAGAGCAAGAAACAUCAAUUGAAACACCUGCUGCUGAAGAACAGAGUAAG